rnacentral:rRNA from 1 species
AUUACCGCGGCUGCUGGCACGGAGUUAGCCGAUGCUUAUUCCCGGAGUACCUUCAGUGCCACACACGUGCGGCAUUUUAUUCCUCCGGAAAAGAAGUUUACAACGCAUAGCGCCGUCUUCCUCCACGCGGGAUGGCUGGUUCAGGCUUACGCCCAUUGACCAAUAUUCCUCACUGCUGCCUCCCGUAGG